UGGGAUAUCGCCAAGCGGUCUAAGGCCCCGGCCUUUGAAACCGGUAUCGCUGGUUCGAAUCCAGCUAUCCCAGCCA
rnacentral:tRNA from 1 species